rnacentral:rRNA from 1 species
GACGAACGCUGGCGGCGUGCUUAACACAUGCAAGUCGAACGGAAAGGCCCUGCUUUUGUGGGUUUCUCGAUUGGCGAACGGGUGAGUAACACGUGAGUAACCUGCCCUUGACUUUGUGAUAACUUCAGGAAACUGGGGCUAAUACCGGAUAGGAGCUCCUGCUGCAUGGUGGGGGUUGGAAAGUUUCGGCGGUUGGGGAUGGACUCGCGGCUUAUCAGCUUGUUGGUGGGGUAGUGGCUUACCAAGGCUUUGACGGGUAGCCGGCCUGAGAGGGUGACCGGCCACAUUGGGACUGAGAUACGGCCCAGACUCCUACGGGCGGCAGCAGUGGGGAAUAUUGCACAAUGGGCGGAAGCCUGAUGCAGCAACGCCGCGUGCGGGAUGACGGCCUUCGGGUUGUAAACAGCUUUCGCCUGUGACGAAGAGUGCGUGACGGUAAUGGGUAAAGAAGCACCGGCUAACUACGUG